rnacentral:rRNA from 1 species
AGAGUUUGAUCCUGGCUCAGGAUGAACGCUGGCGGCGUGCUUAACACAUGCAAGUCGAACGGAGUAUAUUUAAAAGCUUGCUUUUGUUUAUACUUAGUGGCGGACGGGUGAGUAACGCGUGGGUAACCUGCCUUAUACCGGGGGACAACAGUUGGAAACGACUGCUAAUACCGCAUAAGCGCACAGUAUCGCAUGAUACAGUGUGAAAAACUCCGGUGGUAUAAGAUGGACCCGCGUCUGAUUAGCCAGUUGGCGGUGUAACGGACCACCAAAGCGACGAUCAGUAGCCGGCCUGAGAGGGCAAACGGCCACAUUGGGACUGAGACACGGCCCAAACUCCUACGGGAGGCAGCAGUGGGGAAUAUUGCACAAUGGAGGAAACUCUGAUGCAGCGACGCCGCGUGAGUGAAGAAGUAUUUCGGUAUGUAAAGCUCUAUCAGCAGGAAAGAAAAUGACGGUACCUGACUAAGAAGCCCCGGCUAACUACGUGCC